rnacentral:lncRNA from 1 species
AAAGAAGGACGCAGAGCCAGCCACACAGCCCCACAGGUCCUCUUUAGCCACAGGGAACCUCCUCUGGAGCUGAAAGACACAGACGCCGCUGUGGGUGACAACAUUGGCUACAUUACCUUUGUGCUGUUCCCUCGUCACACCAAUGCCAGUGCUCGAGACAACACCAUCAACCUGAUCCACACGUUCCGGGACUACCUGCACUACCACAUCAAGUGCUCUAAGGCCUAUAUUCACACACGUAUGCGGGCGAAAACGUCUGACUUCCUCAAGGUGCUGAACCGCGCACGCCCAGAUGCCGAGAAAAAAGAAAUGAAAACAAUCACCUUCUCUUUGGCAGAGUUGGGCCCCAGAAAGGAGAAGCAGGAGACAAACAGCUGCAUCCACCCUGAAAACCAGAUUAUGUUACUAAUGGGGGAAGACGUUUUCAUCCCGCUAAUCUUGGGAAUAAGAGGAGGAAGCGGCUGGCAACUGAAGGCUGGAACACUUGCUACUGGAUAAUCGUAGCUUUUAAUGUUGCGCCUCUUCAGGUUCUUAAGGGAUUCUCCGUUUUGGUUCCAUUUUGUACACGUUUGGAAAAUAAUCUGCAGAAACGAGCUGUGCUUGCAAAGACUUCAUAGUUCCCAAGAAUUAAAAAAAAAAAAAAA